CAGUCAGGUUGUUGAAGUGGAGAACUGCAGUGCCAAUGUCAAUCUGGAAAACGACAAUGCAGAGCUAGAGGAAGGUGAAAUCAAUCUGGAAAAGGACAAUGCAGAUCUUGAGGAAGGUGAAAUCAAUCUGGAAAACGACAAUGCAGAUCUUGAAGAAGGUGAAAUUACUUAGCACUAAAUAGUGUACAAAGCCUUUUCUGUAUCUAUAUUAUACCUUUGUGGUUACAACAUUGCGACAAGUUGUGAAUAAAUUUUUUUUUUUGAGAACAGUA
rnacentral:lncRNA from 1 species